rnacentral:rRNA from 1 species
UACGUAGGGUGCGAGCGUUUAAUCGGAAUUACUGGGCGUAAAGCGUGCGCAGGCGGUUAUGCAAGACAGAUGUGAAAUCCCCGGGCUCAACCUGGGAACUGCAUUUGUGACUGCAUAGCUAGAGUACGGUAGAGGGGGAUGGAAUUCCGCGUGUAGCAGUGAAAUGCGUAGAUAUGCGGAGGAACACCGAUGGCGAAGGCAAUCCCCUGGACCUGUACUGACGCUCAUGCACGAAAGCGUGGGGAGCAAACAGG